rnacentral:rRNA from 1 species
AACGCGAAGAACCUUACCCAGGCUUGAACAGCGAGUGACCACUCACGAAAGUGAGCUUCCGCAAGGACACUCGUAGAGGUGCUGCAUGGCUGUCGUCAGCUCGUGUCGUGAGAUGUUGGGUUAAGUCCCGCAACGAGCGCAACCCUUGUCUGCUGUUGCCAUCACGUUAUGGUGGGCACUCUGCAGAGACUGCCGGUGAUAAACCGGAGGAAGGUGGGGAUGACGUCAAGUCAGCAUGGCCUUUAUGUCUGGGGCUACACACGUGCUACAAUGGCAGAUACAAACCGUCGCGAGACCGCAAGGUGGAGCUAAUCGGAGAAAGUCUGUCUCAGUUCGGAUUGUCGGCUGCAACUCGCCGGCAUGAAGUUGGAAUCGCUAGUAAUCGCGGAUCAGCACGCCGCGGUGAAUACGUUCCCGGGUCUUGUACACACCG